rnacentral:misc_RNA from 1 species
UGUGGGAGCUGGCUUGCCUGCGAUAGCGGUAUAUCAGGCCCUGCAAGGGGGACUGACAAAUAGCUAUCGCAGGCAAGCCAGCUCCCACA